CAACAGUGGGCAAAUCCUGUCUGGCAAGUCAGUGUUAGAGCAUACAGUUUCCAGUACUGGAUAUAACAUAGUAUACCAAUACAUUAUUCAAGGUUGUCUUGAAGACCAUAGCCAAUAAAAUAUGGGGAUAUAUUAUAAUUUAGAGAAAUUAUUCCAGAUUUAAUUGACUCCUGCUGCCUCUGUUAACCAUAUGGAUGUCCAUGAUUGGAACUACAAUACUAUUCCUACUAAUUCUGGAAGCAAUGUUGAUGCUCAUGAUAUUCUUACCACUGGAUACCAUGUUAAUUUCCCUGAUCUCUCCUGCAAUGAGUGACAUGCUGGUUGUAGAUUCUUGCCGGACCCUGGGAGGGGACCAUCUAGGGGCUGGAUCCCCAUAGUCCCCGAUACUCAUGCUGAUGUCAUUGAUACCUGUUGCCUCUGUUAACCCUGUUGAUGUCUAUGAAAGCACCGCCCAUGCAUUCCUAUUGGUUCUGUAAGCCGUGCUGGUGCAUGUGGUCCUUGUUACCAAGGGAUAACAUUUUGAUUGCCAUGAGUUCUCUGGCCCCUUAUGAUCGUAUUAAUGUAAGUAUUCUGUGUUGCCAAACAUAAAGAAUGUAAAAAGAAUGUAAAUUUCCAAGAACUGAAAUACCAACUGAAACUAAGUUGAUAUCCGGAAUACUUGCUGUCACCUCCAAACAAAUUAAAUUCAUUUAUCCCUGCUGCCUCUUUUAAACAUGUGGAUGUCCAUAAGCAGACAUACCAUGCUAUUUCUGCUAUUUCUGGAAACCAUGUUGAUGCCAGGGUUCUUUCUUGCUCAUGGAUCUGAUGGUGAUGUCCAUCUGUCCUGCUACCUGAGACCAUGUUCUGUCUUUCCAACAUGAAGAAUGUUAAUUUCCCUGAUCUCAAAUGCCAUAGUAAACUAUGUGGCUAUCCACUCGACAUGCUGCCACCUAAAAACAUGUGGAUAUAAUUGAUCCCUGCUUCUGUUACCCAUAUGGAUGUCCAUGAUUGGAAGCACAAUGACAUUAGUAUUUCUAGAAGCAAUGUUGAUGCUAAUUAUCUUCUUACUACUGGGCACCAUGUUGAAUUUAUGAUCUCUCCUGCUACAAGUCACCACCUUAAGGUAAGUGUUUCUUGUUGCCAAUGUAUAGAAUGGUAAUUUUCAAGAUUUAACGAACUUUUGGUAACUAACUUGAUACACAUAAUUCAUAUUGCCACCUGCAACCAAGCUUAUGCCAUUGAUCACUAAAGCCUUUGAUAUUAAUGAAUGAAGAUCUCAUGCAUUCUUAUUGGUUGUAUAAGCCCUGUUGAUGCAUGUGGUCCUUGUUACCAUGGGAUAACACCUUGAUUGCUAUGAAAUCUCCAUCCCCUUAUGACCUUACUAAUAUAAGUGUUCUGUGUUGGCAAUAUGAAGAAUGUAAUUUCCAAGAAUUGAAAUACUAACAGAAACUAAAUUAAUAUCCUAAAUACAUGCUGCUACCUCUAAACAAGUUGAGUUCAUUAGUCCCAGCUGAGUCUCUUAAACAUGUGCAUGUCCAUGAUUGGAACUACAAUGCUAUUCCUACUCCUUCUGGAAGCAAUGUUGAUGCUCAUGAUCUUCUUACCACUGGACACCAUGGUGACUUCCAUGAUCUCUCCUGCUACAAGUGACCACAUAAAACUGGACACCAUGGUGAUUUCCAUGAUCUCUCCUGCUACAAGUGACAAUAUUAAGGUAAGUGUCCCUUUUUGGCAAUAUAUAGAAUGGUAAUUUCUGAGAUUUCAUGAACCUUUGUUAACUUAGCUAAUAUCUGUAAUUCAUGCUGCCACCUGGAACCAUGAUGCUGUCAUUUACCGCUGCUUCCUCUGUUAACCCUGUUGUCUAUGAAAGGAAAUGCCAUGCGUUCCUAUUGGUUCUGUAAGCCAUGUUGAUGCAUGUGGUCAUUGUUACAAUUGGAUGACGUCUUCAUUUCCAUGAGCUCUCUGGCACCUUAUGACCAUAUUAAUGUAAAUGUUCUGUGUUGCCAACAUAAAGAAUAUAAAUAUCAAAGAACUGAAAUACAAACUAAAACUAAGUUGAUAUCCAGAAUACUUGCUGUCACCUCCAAACAAAUUGAAUUCAUUUAUCCCUGCUGCAUCUGUUAAACACGUGGAUGUCCAUGAGUGGAUAUAUCAUGUAGCUCCUACUAUUUCUGGAGGAACAUUGAUGCCAGGGUUCUUUCUUGCCCAUGGAUCUGAUGUUGAUGUCUACCUGUCCUGCUACCUGAGACCAUAUUGAUGCCAGAUAUCUGUCUUUCCAACAUGAAGAAUGUUAAUUUCCCUGAUCUCAAAUACCAAAGUAAACUAUGUGGCUAUCCAUUCAGAAUGCUACCACCUGAAAUCUUGUGGAUUUAAUUGAUUCCUGCUGCUUCCAUUACCCAUAUUGAUGUCCAUGAUUGGAACUAUAAUGCUUUUCCCACUACUUCUGGUAGCAGUGUUGAUGCUCAAGGUCUUGUAAACAUCUGGACACCAUGUUGAUUUCCAUGAUCUCUGUUUCUGCAGGUGAUUAUGAUAAUGUAGACUUUCCUUGUUGCCAAUGUAUAGAAUGGUAAUUUCCAAGACUUAACCAACUUUUGGUAACUAAGUUAAUACACAUAAUGUAUCCUCCCACCUGCAGCCAUGCUGAUGUCAUUGAUCACUGCUGCCCUUGCAAACCCUGCUGAUAUUAAUGAAUGGAGCUCCCCUGUAUUUCUAUUGGUUCUCUAAGCCAUGUUGAUGCAGGUGGUCCUUUAUACCAUGGGUUAACAUCUUGAUUACCAUAAAUUCUCCAGCCCAUUUUGGCCAUAUUAAGACAAGUGUUCCUUUUGGGCAAUGUGUAGAAUGGUAAUAUCCAAGAUUUAACAAGCAUUUGUAACUAAGCAGAUACCCAUAAUUCAUGCUGCCACCUCCAACCAUGCUGACGUCAUUGAUCCCCUUUGCAAAUGUUAACCCUGUUGAUGUCUAUGAAUUCACCUGCAAUGCAUUCCGUUUUUUUCUGUAAGCCAUGUUGAUGAAUGUGGUCCUUGUUACCAUGGGAUAACAUUUUGAUUGUCAUGACCUCUCUGGCCCAUUAUGAUCAAAUUGAUGGAAGUGUUCUGUGUUGCCAUCAUAAAAUAUGUAAAUUUCCAAGAAUUGAAAUACCAAGUGAAACUAAGGUGAUAUCUGGAAUAUUUGCUGUCACCUCCAAAAAUUGAAUUAAUUCAUCCCUGCUCCAUCUGUUAAAAAUGUGAAUGUCCAUGAGCAGACUUACAAUGCUAUUCCUACUAUGUCUGGAAGCCACAUUGAUUCCAGGGUUCUUUCUUGCCCAUGAGUCUGAUGUUGAUGUCUAUCUGUCCUCCUACCUGACACCACGUUGGUGCAAGUGUUCUGUCUUUCCAUCAUAACGAAAGUUAAUUUCUCUGAUCUCAACUAACAAAGAAAUCUGUGUGGCUCUCCAUUGUACUUUUUGCCACCUGAAACACUGUGGAUAUAAUACAUCCCUACUGCUUCUGUUAACCAUGUGGAUGUCCAUGCUGGAGGCACAAUACCAUUCCUACUACUUCUGGAAGCAAUGUUGAUGCUCAUUAUCUUCUUAUACUGGGCACCAUGUUGAUUGCUAUGAUCUCUCCUGCUAGAGUUCACCACCUUAAGGUAAGUGUUUCUUGUUGCCAAUGUAUAGAAUGGUAAUUUUCAAGAUUUAACGAACUUUUGGUAACUAACUUGAUACACAUAAUUCAUAUUGCCACCUGCAACCAAGCUUAUGCCAUUGAUCACUAAAGCCUUUGAUAUUAAUGAAUGAAGAUCUCAUGCAUUCUUAUUGGUUGUAUAAGCCCUGUUGAUGCAUGUGGUCCUUGUUACCAUGGGAUAACACCUUGAUUGCUAUGAAAUCUCCAUCCCCUUAUGACCUUACUAAUAUAAGUGUUCUGUGUUGGCAAUAUGAAGAAUGUAAUUUCCAAGAAUUGAAAUACUAACAGAAACUAAAUUAAUAUCCUGAAUACAUGCUGCUACCUCUAAACAAGUUGAGUUCAUUAGUCCCAGCUGAGUCUCUUAAACAUGUGCAUGUCCAUGAUUGGAACUACAAUGCUAUUCCUACUCCUUCUGGAAGCAAUGUUGAUGCUCAUGAUCUUCUUACCACUGGACACCAUGGUGACUUCCAUGAUCUCUCCUGCUACAAGUGACCACAUAAAGUAAAUGUCCCUUUUUGGCAAUAUAUAGAAUGGUAAUUCCCAAGAUUUAGUGAACCUUUGUUAACUUAGUUAAUAUCUGUAAUUCAUGCUGCUACCUGCACCCAUGCUGAUGUCAUUGACCACUGCUGCCUUUGUUAACCUUGUUGAUGUCUAUGAAAGGGCGUGACAGGAAUUCCUAUUGUUUCUGUAAGCCAUAUGGAUGCAUAUGGUCCUUGUAACUGUGGGAUAUCUUCUUGAUUGCCAUGACCACUCUGGCCCCUUAUGACCAUAUUAAUGUAAGUAUUCUGUGUUGCCAACAUAAAGAAUGUAAAUUUACAAGAACAAUAAUACAAACUGAAACUAAGUUGAUACCUGGAAUACUUGCUGUCACCUCCAAACAAAAUGAAUUAAUUCAUCACUGCUGCAUCUGUUAAACAUGCGGAUGUCCAUGAGCAGACAUACCAUGCUAUUCCUACUAUUUCUGGAAGCCACAUUGAUGCCAGGGCUCUUUCUUGCCCAUGGAUCUGAUGUUGAUGUCUAUCUGUCCUCCUACCUGACACAAUAUUGGUACAAGUGUUAUGUCUUUCCAUCAUGAAGAAAGUUAAUUUCUCUGAUCUCAACUAACAAAGAAAACUGUGUGGCUCUCCAUUGUACUUUUGCCACCUGAAACACUGUGGAUAUAAUACAUCCCUACUGCUUCUGUUAACCAUGAGGAUGUCCAUGGUGGAGGCACAAUACCAUUCCUACUACUUCUGGAAGCAAUGUUGAUGCUCAUUAUCUUCUUAUACUGGGCACCAUGUUGAUUGCUAUGAUCUCUCCUGCUAGAGUUCACCACCUUAAGGUAAGUGUUGGUUGUUGUCAAUGUAUAGAAUGAUAAUUUCCAAGAUUUAACUAACUUUUCGUAACUAAGUUGAUACACACUAUUCAUGCUGCCACCUGCAUCCAUGCUGAUGUCAUUGAUCACUGUUGCAUUUGCUAACCCUGCUGAUAUUAGUGAAUGGAGCUCCCAUGCAUUCCUAUUAGUUCUAUAAGCAUGUGCUCCUUGUUACCAUGGGCUAACACCUUGAUUGCUAUGAAUUCUCCAUCACCUUAUCACCUUAUUUAUGUAAGAGUUGUUUGUUGGCAAUAUGAAGAAUGUAUUUGCAAGAAUUGAAAUACUAACAGAAACUAAGUUAAUAUCCUGAAUACAUGCUGCUACCUCUAAACAAGUUGAGGUCAUUAAUCCCAGCUGAGUCUUUUAAACAUGUGUAUGUCCAUGAUUGGAACUACAAUGCUAUUUCUACUCCUCCUAGAACCAAUGUUGAUGCUCAUGAUCUUCUUACCACUGGACACCAUGGUGAUUUCCAUGAUCUCUCCUGCUACAAGUGACCAUAUUAAGGUAAGUUUGCUUUUGGCAAUAUAUAGAAUGGUAAUUUCUGAGAUUUAAUGAACUUUUGUUAACUUAGCUAAUAUCUGUAAUUCAUUCUGCCACCUGCACCCACGCUGAUGUCAUUGACUGUUGCUGCCUCAGUUAACCUUGUUGAUUUCUGUGAAAGGACCUGAUAGGAAUUCCUCUUGUAUCUGUAAGCCAUGUGGAUGCAUAUGGUCCUUGUUACCGUGGCAUAACAUCUUGAUUGCCAUGACUUCUCUGGACCCUUAUGACCAUAUUGAUGUAUAUGUUUUGUAUUGCCAACAUAAAGAUGUAAAUUUCCAAGAACAAAAAAUACCACCUGAAACUAAGUUGACAUCUGGAAUACUUGUUGUCACCUCCAACCAAAUUGAAGUCAUUCUUCCCUUUUGCAUCUGUUAAACAUCUGGAUGUCCAUCAGCAGACAUAUCAUGCUAUUCCUAGUAUUUCUGGAAGCAUGUUGAUCCCAGAGUUGUUUUCUUGUCCAUCAUUCUGAUGUUGAUGUCCAUCAUUCCUGCUACUUGAGACCAUGUUAUGUCAUUCCAUCAUGAAAAAAGUUAAUUUCCCUGAUCUCAACUACUGUAGUAAGCUAUGUGGCUAUCCAUUCAACAUGCUGCCACCUGAAACCUUGUGGAUUUAAUUGAUCCCUGCUACAUCUGUACCCAUAUGGAUAUCUAUAUUUUGAACUAUAAUGCUCUUCCUACUACUUUUGGUCGCUGUGUUGAUGCUCAUGGUCUUAUAAACCACUGGACACCAUGUUGAUUUUCAUGAUCUCUGCUGCUAUAGGUGAUGAUGUUAAUGUAAGGGUUACUUUUUGCCAAUGUAUAGAAUGAUAAUUUCCAUGAUUAAACCAACUUUCGGUACAUAAGUUGAUACACAUAAUUCAUGCUGCCACCUGCAGUCAUGCUGAUGUCAUUGAUCACUGCGCCUUUGCAAACCCUGCUGAUAUUAAUGAAUGGAGCUCCACUGCAUUCCUAUUGGUUCUGUAAGCCAUGGUGAUGCAGGUGGUCCUUUAUACCAUGGGUUAACAUCUUGAUUACCAUAAAUUCUUUAGACCCUUAUGGCCAUAUAAAGGCAAGGGUUUAUUUUUGGCAAUGUGUAGAAUGGUAAUAUCCAAGAUUUAACAAGCAUUGGUAACUAAGCAGAUAUCCCUAAUUCAUGCUGCCACCUCCUACCAUGCUAUAGCAUGAAUCUUAAAAGUUCUUAUUAAUAAAAUCAAACCUGAGCCAAGUAUUGGUUUGAACACUGGAAGAUCAGAGAGACAGAACAAGCCACAGCUAACCUCACCUGGCCAAUUUCUCAGCUGAUCUUGUUUCUUCUGACUGGAAUCCUCUGUGUCCUCAUAUCCGAAUGGCUCUCAGCUGAACUGUGCUGCCCAAAACCUAAAAUCUUAACUAGCCAAAUGCUUAACCAUCCAAAUGCUUAACCAGCGAAAUGCUUCUAGUUUCUGGUCUUCACACAUCAUAUAUCUUUCCUUUCUACCAUCACACCUUGGGAUUAAAUAUUCGCUUUCUGGGAUUAAAGGCGUGAGUCACCCUGCCUGGCUGUUUCCAAUAUGGCCUUGAACUUUCAGAGAUCCAGAGGGAUUUCUGCUUUUGAAAUGCUAGGAUUAAAGUGUGAGUGCCACCAUUUUCUAGCCUUUUAUCUAGUAGCUGUUUUGUCUCUGACCCCAGAUAACUUUAUUAGGGUGUACAAUAUUUUGGGGAAUACAAUAACAGCACACCAUGCUGAUGUCAUUGACCUCCAUUGCCACUGUUAAUCUUGUUGAUGUCUGUGAAUGCACCUCCAAUGCAUUCCAAUAGGUUUUGUAAGCCAUGUUGAUGCAUGUGGUCAUUAUUACCAUGGGAUAGCACCUUGAUUGCUUUGAAUUCUCCAUCCCCUUAUCACUUUAUUUUUGUCAGUGUUCUGUGUUGCCAAUAUGAAUAAUGUAAUUUCCAAAAAUUGAAAUACUAACAGAAACUGGGUUAAUAUCCUGAAUACAUGCUGCUACCUCUGAACAAGUUGAGGUCUUUAAUCCCAGCUGAGUCUCUUAAACAUAUGCAUAUCUAUGAUUUGAACUCCAGUGCUAUUCCUACUCCUUCUGGAACCAAUGUUGAUGCUCAUUAUCUUUCCACUGGAGAACAGGUUGAUUUCCAGUAUCUCUCCUGCUACAAGUUAUCAUGUUAAGGUAAGUGUUCCUUUUUGGCAGUACAUAGAAUGGUAAUUCCCAAGAUUUAAUGAACCUUUGUUAACUUAGCUUAUAUCUGUAUUUCAUGCUGCCACCUGCACCCGUGAUGAUGUCAUUGACCUCUGCUUCCUCUGUUAACCUUGAUGAUGUCUAUUAAAUGACCUGCCUAACAUUCCAAUUGUUUUUGUAAGCCAUGUUGAUUCAUGUGGUCCCUGUUACCAUGGGAUAACAUGUUGAUUGCCAUUAACUCUCUGGCUCCUUAUGACCAUAUUAAUGUAAAUGUUGUGUUGCCAACAUAAAGAAUGUAAAUUUCUAAGAACAAAAAUACCAACUGAAACUACGUUGAUACCUGGAAUACUUGCUGUCACCCCAAACAAAUUGAAUUCAUUCAUCCCUGCUGCAUCUAUUAGACAUGUAUAUGUCCUUGAACAGACAUAUCAUGCUAUUCCUACUAUUUCUGGAAGCCAUGUUGAUGCCAGGGUUCUUUUCUUGCCCAUGGAUCUGAUGUUGAUGUCCAUCAUUCCUGCUACUUGAGACCAUGUUAUGUCUUUCCAUCAUGAAAAACGUUAAUUUCCCUGAUCUCAACUACUAUAGUAAACUAUGUGGCUAUCCAUUCAACAUGCUGCCACCUGAAACCUUGUGGAUUUAAUUGAUCUCUGCUACUUCUGUUCCCCAUAUGGAUAUCUAUAUUUAGAACUAUAAUGCUUUUCCUACUACUUCUGGUAGUAGUGUUGAUGCUCAUGUUUUGGUAAACAACUUGUCACCAUGUUGGUUUCCAUGAUCUCUCCUGAUACAGGUGAUCAUGUUAAUGUAGGUGUUCUUUUUUGGCAACAUAUUGAAUGGUAAUUUCUAAGAUAUAAUGAACCUUUGGUAACUUAGCUGGUAUCUGUAAUUCAUGUUUACACCUGCACUCGUGCUGAUGUCAUUGACCCCUGCUGCCUCUGUUUACCUUGUUGAUGUCUAUGAAAGGACCUGCUGGCAUUCCUAUUGGUUCUGUAAGUCAUGUUGAUGCAUGUGGUCCUUGUUUUAAUGGGAUAACAUCUUGAUUGCCAUGACCUCUCUGGCCCCUUAUGGCCAUAUUAAGGUAAGUGUAUAUUUUUGCCAACAUGAGGAAUGUAAAUUUCCAUGAACUGAAAUACCAACUGAAGCUAAGUUGAUAUCUGGAAUACUUGCUGCUACCUCCAUAUAAAUUGAAUUCAUUUAUCCCUGCUGCAUCUGGUAAACAUGUGGAUGUCCAGGAUCCAUUAUCUUAUGGUACUUCUGGCAUUACUAGAAGCCAUGUGGAUGUCUGUGGUCCUUCUUGCCAGUAUAUUCCAUAUAGAUUUCCUUGAACUCUUGCCACCUGUGACAAUAUUAAUGUUAAGUGUUCUGUGCUGUCAAUUGAAGAACAUUAAUUUCCAAGAAUUUAACCACCAACUGAAACUAAGUUGAUAUACAGAAUGCAUGGUGCCACCUCCAAACAUUUUGAAGUCAUUGAUCCCUCCUGCCUCUGUUGGACAUAUUGUUGUUUAUGAUUCUAAUUAUGAUAUUCCUAGUACAUUUGAAAUCCAUGAUGAUGCCCAUCAUAUUUGUACCAGUGGAUACCAUAUUGUUUUUUGUGAUCUCUCCUUCUGUCUUUGACCUUGUUAAAUUAAACUUUCUCUCACCAACAUGAAGAAUAUUAUGUUCCAAGAUUUAACCUUUGAAAUGUUAAGUUCCAAGAUUUCACUAAUCUUGGAAACUAAUAUUAUAUCCAUAAUUCUUGGUAUCAUCUGAAUCCAUGGUCUUUUUAUUGAUCCCACUUGUCUCUGUUAACCAUGUUGAUGCCUAUGAUCAGAACUUCCAUGCUAUUCUUAUUCCUUCUGGAAGCCAUGUUGAUUCCUAUGCUCCUUGUUACCACUGGAUAACGUCUCGGUAUUGGUGACCUGUGUGGUCAAAUAUGACCAUAUUAAGAUAAACUUUCUGUUAUUCUAACAUGAACAAAAUAAAUUUCCAAGAAUUCAACUAACAUCUAAAACUAAGUUCAUAUCCAUAAUUCAUGCUGCUGUCUAUAAACAUGUUGAUGCCAUUGUUUCCUGCUCCCUCUUAACGGUUUUGAUGUCCAUGAUCAGACAUUCCAUGGUAUUCCUACUAUUUCUGGGAGGCAUGUUAAUGCCUGUGGUUCUUCUUGCUCCUCAAUAUGAAGUUUAUAUCUAUCUUUCCUGCCAUGGUAUUGUGAAUGAGAAAAAUGUUAAUUUUCAAGAUUUAUUGUGCAGUCUGAAAAUAAGUUGAUAUCUAUGAUUCAUGCUGCCACCUGCAUCCAUGUUGAUGCCAUUGAUCCUACUUUGUUAAUCAAAUUGAUGUCUAACAUAGGACAUCAUGCUAUUCCUGCUUCUUCUGGAAGCCAUGUAGAUGCCUGUGGUCCUUCUUAACCACUACAUACAUUGUUGAUGUCCAAUAUCUUUCCCCUUGUGCCUGCAUUAAAUUAUUGUUCUGUGUUACCAACGUGCAGAAUGUUAAUUUGCAAGAUUUAACCCACCAUCCAAAUUUAAGAUGAAAUCCAUAAUUCAUGAUGCCACCUGAAACCAUUUUGAUGCCAUUUAUCCCAUGUGCCUCUGUUAACCAAAUUGAUGUCCAUGAUUGGAUGACCUACCAUGCUCUUCCUACUAUUUCUGGAAGCCUUUUUGAUGCUUGUGGUCUUUCUUACUGUAGAUAUGACAUUGAUGUCCAUAUCCAUGGAGAAAUUUUGCUACCUGAGACCCUAUUGAUGCAAGAGUUCUGUGCUGCAAACGUGAUGAAUGUUAAUUGCCAUGAUCUCAGCUACCAUCUGAAACUGUUGAUAUUUACAUGCUACCACGUACAACCUUGUUGAUGACAUUGAUGCCUGCUGUCCUCUUUGUCAUGUUCAUAAACCUUUCUGUGCUAUUCCUAUUGGUUUGAAGUCCAUGUUGAUGCCUUAUGGUAUGUUUUGCUCCUGGAUAAGAUGUUGAUGUAUAUGGUCUGACCUGCCACCUGAGACGAUGCUGAGGUAAGUUUUCUGUGUUGCCAACAUGAAGAAUAUUGAUUUCCAUGAGUUGAUUUGCCAUUGGAACUUAAGUUGAUAUCUGUAAUUCAUUCUGUCCCUGGAACCAUGUUGAUACCACUGAUUCUUGCUUCUUUUGUUUAUCAUGUUAAUUACCAUGAUCUGACCUACCAUGCUGUCGCUACUCUUCUGGAAGCCAUGUUGAUGCCUGUGGUUCUUGGUGCCCAGGGAUAUGAUAUUGAUGUCGAUGUUCUGUUCUGACUCCUGAAUCCAUGCUGAGGCCACCACAUUGAUGUCACUAAUCUUUGCUGAAUGUUUUAACUAUGUUGAUAUCCAUGAGCCAACCCUCCAUUCAAAACUAUGUUGAUGUCAUGGAUCCUUUCUACUUCUGCUAUGUUGCUGCCCAUGAUCUCACCUACCAUUCAACCCCUACUGCUUCAGGGAGCCAUGGCGAUGCCUGCAGUCCUUAUUGCCCCUGGAUGAGAUGUUGACAUCCAUGUUCUGUCCUUCCACCUGAGACCACAUUGAGGAAAUCAUGUUGAUGUCACUGUUCUUUGCUGCAUCUUCUAACCAUGUUGAUGUUCAUCAUCCAACCUACCGUCCAAACUUUGUUGAUGUUACUGAUCUAUGUUGUAGCUGUCAACCAUGUUGAGGUUACUGAACUUUGCUAACACCUGUAACCAUAUUGAUGUCUGCAAUGUACAGUGUCAUCAGAAACAAUGUUGAAGUCAUUUGUCCAUACUGCUGCCUUUGACCCAGUUCAAGCAACCAUGUUGAUGUGACUGAUUCUCGCUGCCUGUCUUAACCUUGCUGAUAUCCAUGAUUCGACCUGUCAUCUGAAACUUUGUUGAUGUCACUGAUCUUUGCUGUUGCUGUCAACCAUGUUGAUGCUACUGAAACUUGCUUCUGCUUGUAACCAUACUGCUGUCUGUAGUCUGUUAUCAUCUGAGACAAUGCAGAAAUCAGUGGUGCAUACUACCACCUGAGACCCACUUCAGGAAACCAGCCUUGUUGAUGUCACUGAUCUUUGUUCCCUGUUUGGACCAUGUGGAUGUCCAUUAUCUGACUUAACAUCUGAAAUUAUGUUGAUGUCACUCAUUCAUGCUGCCACUGAUAACCAUGUUUAUGGCCAUAGUCUUUGUUGGAAUCUUAGACCUUGUGGAUGUCCAUUGUCCAUGUUGCCACCUGAAUCCAUGAUGAUGACCAUGAUGAUUGUAGUCUGUGCUGCUGCUGGGGAUUAGGUCAAUAUAAAUGAUCUGAGCUGCCAACAGAAACUAUUUUGAUAUCAUUAAGCCAUCCUGGUGCUGGAGACCAUGUUGACAUCUUUGUCCUUGCUGCCACCAAAAACUGUUUAUGUUCAUGCUCUGGGCUGCAUGCUGAAGACCAGUUGAAUAUCCACGACCCAGAUGCUGAUGGAGACUGUGUCAAUGUCUGUGGUUAGUACUGCCACAAGAAGGCAUCCUGAUAGUGAUCUGUGAUGUCUCCCACAAACAUGUUAUGUUGGUGAACUGUGUUGAUGUCGUGGACCAGAUGGAUGUCAGUUAUCCAAGCUGUAACCAGAAAUCUUGUGGACCAUGAUCUGUGCUGCUCCUGGAAACCCUUUAGAAGUCUAUGAUCCAUUCUGCUACUGGAAACCAUGUGGAAGUCUGAGAUCUGUACUGCCACUGACUUCUAUUGGCAGGGAGCUUUUUACAGUGGUAUCAAUAAUUGUAGAAUCAUAACUGAAAUUCAGACAGACAUUGAAGGCUUCUGUGCCACCCUCCCCCCAAAAAGAAAAUCCAGACAGGAUCUUAUUGGAGAGUCCUUGAAAGUUGUAAUAAAAAUACUUAACUGUA